rnacentral:tRNA from 1 species
AGCUGGGUAGCUCAGUCGGUUAGAGCGAAGGACUCAUAAGCCUUAGGUCGCGGGUUCGAUUCCCGCCCCAGCUACCA